rnacentral:rRNA from 1 species
UUGGACAAUGGGGGAAACCCUGAUCCAGCCAUCCCGCGUGUAUGAUGAAGGCCUUCGGNUUGUAANGNACUUUUGGCAGAGAAGANACGGUAUCUCCUAAUACGAGAUACUGCGUACGGUAUCUGCAGAAUAAGCACCGGCUAACUACGUGCCAGCAGCCGCGGUAAUACGUAGGGUGCAAGCGUUAAUCGGAAUGACGGGGCGUAAAGCGUGUGUACGCGGUUCGGAAAGAAUGAUGUGAAAUCCCAGGGCUCAACCUUGGAACUGCAUUUUUAACUGCCAAGCUAGAGUAUGUCAGAGGGGGGUAGAAUUCCACGUGUAGCAGUGAAAUGCGUAGGUAUGUGGAGGAAUACCGAUGGCGAAGGCAGCCCCCUGGGAUAAUACUGACGCUCAGGCACGAAAGCGUGGGGAGCAAACA